GGGGGAAGGAGUAAGUGGAGACAGGGGAGGGAGUCAGACAGCAGUAAAUAAAGAGAUAGAUUGUUCUGAAUUAGGAGUUUAGUUUCUGGUUAAGUUUAGGCAUAAAGUUACGUUGUUAAGUUUCAGGCUGGUGCGAGGUUCAGGUCAGGGUUUGAGGUUCGGUAAAAUGUGUUUUGAAAGGUCAUGAAGACAUGUUGUGUGUGUCUUUAUGUUUCACUAAUGUUUUGCCCACCAAGGACCACCAGGAGUAAUACGACUGUGAUCAAAGUGUAAACGUCCACCAGGAGUAAUACAGGUAUGAUCACAGAACCAACGUCCACCAGGAGUAAUACAGGUAUGAAUGAUCACAGAACCAACGUCCACCAGGAGUAAAACCGGUAUGAUCACAGAACCAACAUCCACCAGGAGUAAUACAGGUAUGAUCACAGAACCAACGUCCACCAGGAGUAAUACAGGCAUGAUCACAGAACCAACGUCCACCAGGAGUAAUACAGGUAUGAUCACAAAACCAACAAUGUCUCUUCUUUUUCCACCUUUCCGACCCACUCUGAAGCUCUCUCCCUCCGAUUCUCUCUGUCCCCACAUUGCCUCUUUCUGUUCAACUCUCCUAUGCGGGAUCAGGUUUCCUUUGAUAUGACAUUACGGGACCUCAGUGAAGGGUGCCGCGGGACGUAGAGUAAUAAUGGGGGAGGUUGAUGGGUGAGUUCUUCCCAACCACUGCGGAUCAGUUUCUUGUUAUGGCUUCCUCUUG
ensembl:lncRNA